rnacentral:rRNA from 1 species
UACAGAGGGGGCAAGCGUUAUUCGGAAUUAUUGGGCGUAAAGGGCGCGUAGGCGGCUUGGCAAGUGGAAGGUGAAAUCCCUCGGCUUAACCGAGGAACUGCCCUCCAAACUGCUUCGCUUGAGACCGGGAGAGGUGAGUGGAAUUCCCAGUGUAGCGGUGAAAUGAGUAGAUAUUGGGAGGAACACCAGUGGCGAAGGCGGCUCACUGGACCGGUACUGACGCUGAUGCGCGAAAGCUAGGGGAGCAAACGGG